rnacentral:rRNA from 1 species
UGCUGGAUCGUUACCCUAUGUGAUCUCAC